AUGUGUGCGGUGGCAUCACAGGUCUUGGGGUGCACAGUGGGGCGCCAGUUAGCUGGGAGGGAAGUGGCGUCUGAAGGGGUGGGGGCAGCCGGAGAGGGUCCCCAGCACAGCCUGGGGAAGGAGCGGGGUGGGGGUCGGGGUGGGAGUGGAGCAGCCAGCGGAUGGAGGGAACCGCAUUCGGGAAAGCUCCUUGCCGAGCAGGCGGGAGGAAGGACGGGCAGGCUGUCCUGGCCGGGCCUGGAGGCGGACACGGGAGGACAGAGGCAAGAAAGGGGCGAGGGGGCUGCAGGGAGCUGCCACCACCCAAGUCCCUCUCAGCAGGUCCUUUCCUUCCACGGGGCCCCUGUGCACCAGGCACGGGAGGGGCUUCCCCACGCUUCCUCGGGGGCCGUCGGGGGAGUCAGGGGGAAGCUGGCCAGGCUCUCGCCUCUGCCCGCAAGCUGCCUACGCUGGCGCUCCUGGCCCAUGGAGCACGGCUUUCUCUCGCACCCCUGGAACCCCGUUUGGGUUUUACGAGCCGGGAAACCCCAGCUCUCCCAGGUCCCUCGGGGCUUGAGAGCCGCCCUCGAACCCGCAGCUCGCCACAGCCUGCCUCCUCGACUGCUGAAACGGCAUGGAUGUGGCAUCGGGAUUUCAAAGCCACAGAAGCAUGUUUUCCAGCCCUCUGCGAGGGCUGCUGGACGGGACGCCAGGUGCCCCAGAUCAGAGACCGGGGGCGGCGGGGGGGGAGGGCCUCAGGGGUCACCUCGGGUGCACCGUGGCCCGCACACCUGGGUCUCAGCAUGGGGCUCCGGCAGCUCUUCGAAUCCACAGAGUGAACUCCCUUCCGCUGAAACACAUCAUUUGCCGGCACUGACGCAGCAGCACCGGGCCCUGUGCGAGGCGCCAAGGACACGCAGCAGAUGCGCGGGCUGCCCCUUCCGAACACACGGCCUGGAUUCAGGGAAACACCAGGCACUAAACCAACCUGAUUCCCCAAAGAACGGCCUCCUCUCUGGCCCAAAAGGCACUGCAACGUCCAGGCGCAAACAAGGAGCGCAACCCGGAGGCCCCGGGCGCAGUGCCCACAGCACGUGUGGUGUCUGCCAAGGGCCCUCUCGGACCAGGGGGAUCCAAGCCAGUGCCCUCACCCCCAGUGUUGCCGUUCCCCGACCCCCGUGGUGA
rnacentral:lncRNA from 1 species